UACGAAGGGUGCAAGCGUUACUCGGAAUUACUGGGCGUAAAGCGUGCGUAGGUGGUUUCUUAAGUCUGCUGUGAAAGCCCCGGGCUCAACCUGGGAAUUGCAGUGGAUGCUGGGGAGCUAGAGUGCGGUAGAGGGUAGUGGAAUUCCCGGUGUAGCGGUGAAAUGCGUAGAGAUCGGGAGGAACACCAGUGGCGAAGGCGACUACCUGGACCAGCACUGACACUGAAGCACGAAAGCGUGGGGAGCAAACAGG
rnacentral:rRNA from 1 species